CAAUAUCCCCGGUGGAAGUGUAAACGCUGGCACCAAAUCGUUCAACAUUAAAACCAGCGGUAACUAUC
rnacentral:misc_RNA from 1 species